rnacentral:rRNA from 1 species
GACGAACGCUGGCGGCGUGCUUAACACAUGCAAGUCGAACGGAAAGGCCCUGCCUUUGUGGGGUGCUCGAGUGGCGAACGGGUGAGUAACAAGUGAGUAACCUGCCCUUGACUUUGGGAUAACUUCAGGAAACUGGGGCUAAUACCGGAUAGGAGCUCCUGCUGCAUGGUGGGGGUUGGAAAGUUUCGGCGGUUGGGGAUGGACUCGCGGCUUAUCAGCUUGUUGGUGGGGUAGUGGCUUACCAAGGCUUUGACGGGUAGCCGGCCUGAGAGGGUGACCGGCCACAUUGGGACUGAGAUACGGCCCAGACUCCUACGGGAGGCAGCAGUGGGGAAUAUUGCACAAUGGGCGGAAGCCUGAUGCAGCAACGCCGCGUGCGGGAUGACGGCCUUCGGGUUGUAAACCGCUUUCGCCUGUGACGAAGCGUGAGUGACGGUAAUGGGUAAAGAAGCACCGGCUAACUACGUG